CCAGUGGUGGUUAAUUAUUUGGGAUGGAUAGAAACAUGGUAGAGUUUUGGAAGCCUUUAGACAUAAAUUAACUGUGAAAAGCAGGAUCUCAGUCUCAUGGGCAAAGGAAGCUGAAACACUGAAUUGCUAGCUGAGGGCUCAGGACCAAACAAUAUUCCUGGAAAAUACUUCUGAGUCCUUCCCUCUUCUCCGCCUGGCCUCCAAGGCAGACAGAAUUCUCUCCUUCUUCUCUAAAUAAAGCCAGGCAUGUGCAAGAAACUAGGAAGAAAACUAUGAGAAAUAUAGAUCUCACCCUACCCAUGAGGAGUCUGCAGUCCAGCAGGUAAAUUUAAUAAUGUUUAACAAAAAUUACAGUGGAUAUUCAACCCAGAUGGUACCUGU